rnacentral:rRNA from 1 species
UGCAGUCGAGCGGUAACACAAGGGAGCUUGCUCCUGAGGUGACGAGCGGCGGACGGGUGAGUAAUGCCUAGGUAUCUGCCCAGUCGAGGGGGAUAACAGUUGGAAACGACUGCUAAUACCGCAUACGCCCUACGGGGGAAAGGAGGGGACCUUCGGGCCUUCCGCGAUUGGAUGAACCUAGGUGGGAUUAGCUAGUUGGUGAGGUAAUGGCUCACCAAGGCGACGAUCCCUAGCUGGUCUGAGAGGAUGAUCAGCCACACUGGAACUGAGACACGGUCCAGACUCCUACGGGAGGCAGCAGUGGGGAAUAUUGCACAAUGGGCGAAAGCCUGAUGCAGCCAUGCCGCGUGUGUGAAGAAGGCCUUCGGGUUGUAAAGCACUUUCAGCGAGGAGGAAAGGUUARGUCUUAAUACGGCYUAGCUGUGACGUUACUCGCAGAAGAAGCACCGGCUAACUUCGUGCCAGCAGCCGCGGUAAUACGAGGGGUGCAAGCGUUAAUCGGAAUUACUGGGCGUAAAGCGUACGCAGGCGGUUUGUUAAGCGAGAUGUGAAAGCCCCGGGCUCAACCUGGGAACUGCAUUUCGAACUGGCAAACUAGAGUCUUGUAGAGGGGGGUAGAAUUUCAGGUGUAGCGGUGAAAUGCGUAGAGAUCUGAAGGAAUACCGGUGGCGAAGGCGGCCCCCUGGACAAAGACUGACGCUCAGGUACGAAAGCGUGGGGGAGCAAACAGGAUUAGAUACCCUGGUAGUCCACGCCGUAACGAUGUCUACUCGGAGUUUGGUGUCU